CGCCGGAGCACGUCCCCUCCCCGCCGGGCGCCGGGCUCCGAGGGUGCCUCCGCCGCCUGCCCGCCGGCUCUGCCCCGGUGCGCGCGUGUGGGAGGGUGUGUGUCUGUGCCGUAGCCGCCGCCGCCGCCGCCUGUAGCUGAGGCUGGCAUCGCCGAGCCCCCGCGCGGGGGGCUGCCGCCCGAGCUCCUGAUUGACAGGCCGCCUCGCCAAUGCCUGGAGGGAGAAAGGAGAAUGCAUGUCUUCCUACCAGAUCGUAAGCUUGUCAGGGCCACAUCUGUCCUGCUUACUGCUGAAUCCCAGCUGGCAGAACAUAGACAUUUCAUAAUAUUUUUGGAGCAAAAGCAUCAAUCGGACUACCAUGUGUAAAGGCCGGCACAGGAUGAAGGAACAGUGUGGUGACUUGGGACGCCAUGCCAUGCUGCUGCAACCAUGUCUGUCUGUGGCUCUGUGUGUGUGCUCUGCACCUCUAGAUGAACUCAUCAAACAGCAUCUAUGGAAAAGCCCAUGGAACUCUCGCUGCCAGGCCAAGAGACGGGGUUUCGCCAUGUUGACCAGGCUGGUCUUGAACUCCUGAGCUCAAGUGAUGCAAACGCCUCAGCCUCCCAAAGAGUUGGAAUUAUAGGCAUGAUCCACCAUACCCAGCCUAUAUUUCUAAGGAAUUCUGCCUUCACGUUCUCACUAUCUGAGGUGCUGGUUUCGAACUCCUGA
ensembl:lncRNA